ACAAACCCACACAGGAAACCAACUGCCAAUCGCUGGACUUACGUCGGACUCCAACCAGAAAAGGAGAAACAACUCACAAAAACUAAACAAAAGGGCGAACAUGGAGCCCGAAUGCCAAUCACUGGACUUACAUCAGCAUCCGAACCAAAACACACCCACACUGGAACCCGAAUGCCACUCGAUGGACUUACAUCAACUUCCAAGCACACAACAACACAACAAGUUAAUAGGGAGUCGGGGACUCGAGCCUAUAACUGUCAAGCACACACUCAAACAAACAGACAACAAAUUGCUUAGGAGUCAGGCACUCGAGCCUAGCAACUGUCAAACAACACACACAAAAA
rnacentral:lncRNA from 1 species